GACGAACGCUGGCGGCGUGCUUAACACAUGCAAGUCGAACGGAAAGGCCCUGCUUUUGUGGGGUGCUCGAGUGGCGAACGGGUGAGUAACACGUGAGUAACCUGCCCUUGACUUUGGGAUAACUUCAGGAAACGGGGGCUAAUACCGGAUAGGAGCUCCUGCUGCAUGGUGGGGGUUGGAAAGUUUCGGCGGUUGGGGAUGGACUCGCGGCUUAUCAGCUUGUUGGUGGGGUAGUGGCUUACCAAGGCUUUGACGGGUAGCCGGCCUGAGAGGGUGACCGGCCACAUUGGGACUGAGAUACGGCCCAGACUCCUACGGGAGGCAGCAGUGGGGAAUAUUGCACAAUGGGCGGAAGCCUGAUGCAGCAACGCCGCGUGCGGGAUGACGGCCUUCGGGUUGUAAACCGCUUUCGCCUGUGACGAAGCGUGAGUGACGGUAAUGGGUAAAGAAGCCCCGGCUAACUACGUG
rnacentral:rRNA from 1 species